rnacentral:rRNA from 1 species
ACGUAGGGUGCGAGCGUUAAUCGGAAUUACUGGGCGUAAAGCGUGCGCAGGCGGUUUUGUAAGGCAGAUGUGAAAUCCCCGGGCUCAACCUGGGAACUGCAUUUGAGACUGCAAGGCUAGAGUGUAGCAGAGGGGGGUAGAAUUCCACGUGUAGCAGUGAAAUGCGUAGAGAUGUGGAGGAAUACCGAUGGCGAAGGCAGCCCCCUGGGUUACUACUGACGCUCAUGCACGAAAGCGUGGGGAGCAAACAG